CAGUAGCCACGGGAAUACGUAGGGCGCAAGCGUUGUCCGGAAUUAUUGGGCGUAAAGAGCUCGUAGGCGGUCUGUCGCGUCUGGUGUGAAAUCCCGAGGCUCAACCUCGGGCUUGCAUCGGGUACGGGCAGACUAGAGUGCGGUAGGGGAGACUGGAAUUCCUGGUGUAGCGGUGGAAUGCGCAGAUAUCAGGAGGAACACCGAUGGCGAAGGCAGGUCUCUGGGCCGCAACUGACGCUGAGGAGCGAAAGCAUGGGGAGCGAACAGGAUUAGAUACCCCGGUAGUCCCUGUCCCUUAUAC
rnacentral:rRNA from 1 species